AUGAAAGCAAACACAUGGACAAGAUAUAUGCAGAGUGACCCAUGCUACUUAAAACAACAAAACAGGGAGAAGAGCAAGAAGUCCUCCCUUCCUCUCAUUAAAAUCAAAGUAUGGAUUCCUUUUUAUCGCUCCUCCCAUCAUUUUUUUUUUUUUUUUUUUUUUUUUUUUGUUUGUUUGUUUUUUGUUUUUGAGAUGGAGUUUUCACUCUUGUUACCCAGGCUGGAGUGCAAUGGCGUGAUCUCGGCUCACCGCAACCUCUGCCUCCUGGGUUCAGACAAUUCUGCCUCAGCCUACUGAGUAGCUGGGAUUACAGGCACGCGCCACCAUUAGUAUGGAGAUUUUGACUGAAUGCCCCAUGGGCUGUGGUUGCUCUGCAGAGCAGAGGUACAUAGUCAGUAAGUAACAUGGAAUCCUCAGCCAUCAGGGCAGAUAGCGAUGUGCUAGUCACACUCACAUCUGGAAGGUGGUACCAACCAUGGCUGUGCUGGUGGGAGCUGUCCGCAGCACUUUUAACAGGCCUUGUUUCUGUUUGAGCCUCUGGGUAUGUGAGAAUGAGGGAGGAGUUGAAAGAAGGAGUGCUAGGCUUUCCAAGGAUCUUCAUGUGUGGCAUUAGGGAAAGAUGCACACAUGACUCAGUGCAUCUUUGUCUACGUUGACCCCAUCGUGCUCAUGGAGGUCUCGCAUGGAUUGCUGUGAAGGCCUGCUACCCCUAACCUCUCCCCUUCCCAACCAUUUCCAUGCAAAUCUUUCCUGUUACAGACACUUCUAGGAUUUCCCAUAGCUUUCAAGAUAAAAUCCACAUUUCUUAGCAGGAUUGAUAAGGUCGUAGGUUUUCCAGCUCAAGAUCCCUCCCUUAGGUCCACCCUCCCCUACUUAAGACCACAGAAUUGAAUUGAUCCUAUUUCUUCAUUCAGGUCACACUAUCAUCCUCCUUUUAUGCAUAUGCCCUUUUCUAUCCUCAUUUUACUUCAUGUUCUCCUUCCUCCCCAUUCCCACUCCCAUUUCCCUCCUUGAUCUUGUGAUAGGCACCUAUUCCAACAUAUUAAUUUACACCCUUUCAAACCACCAUAUAUAUUCAAGGCAUCCCAAAGUGCUGGGAUUAUAUGUGUGAGCCACUGGGUGCUGAAAUCUCUGCUCAAAUAGCCUAGUGGUAAUUAGCGAUUAGACAGAGAUUUUCUGAAAUGGCUGGAACCAAUAAGCCUCUCAGCCUUUACUGAGGGACUAUGUGCGUAUGUGUAUGAGUUGGGAUGUUUCUUCGCUUCUCAGUUUUCCCAACUGCAAUCACUGCUUGAAACAGUUGUAAUGUGAGAAAAUUGUCUGUAGUUGUUUUUGACAAAUGUCCCCAAGGAAAAAGCUGUUUGCAUUGUGUGAGAUCUGAGGUCAAAUAAAUACUAGCCAGGGUACUGCCA
rnacentral:lncRNA from 13 species